rnacentral:rRNA from 1 species
UACGAAGGGUGCAAGCGUUAAUCGGAAUUACUGGGCGUAAAGCGUGCGUAAGUGGUCUUUUAAGUCCGUUGUGAAAGCCCUGGGCUCAACCUGGGAAUGGCAGUGGAUACUGGAAGGCUGGAGUACGGUAGAGGAGGGUGGAAUUCCCGGUGUAGCGGUGAAAUGCGUAGAGAUCGGGAGGAACAUCAGUGGCGAAGGCGGCCCUCUGGACCAGUACUGACGCUGAGGCACGAAAGCGUGGGGAGCAAACAGG